rnacentral:sRNA from 1 species
CUGCUUGGAUACCUCCAGUCCCCAAACUGUGUUCCAGGAGUUUUCUUGGCCGAAGCUGCCCGAUGUUUGAGCCUUUUCUUCCCAGAGAAGAAGAUGGACUGAAAGCUGCCAGUUGGGGACUUUUUGUGAUCACGGCGUUGCUGGGUUUUAAAGGAGGUGAUGGGGCUUGCGCUGGCUUGUCUUCCCACCCAAGUGAAGAGUUGAUGUUCACGGGUUAUGCUUAGACAAUGUGCAGUUUGUGUUAAUUUAAAAUUUUGGGUGGGAUAGGGGCAUAGGCUUGUGAAGGGCAGUCCGGAUCCGGAGGAACUCCUCUUUGUCCCUGGUAGGAGAGACACCCCCAGUCUAUCCUCGAUGCCGUCAGCCUUGGCCAUCUUCACUUGCCGCCCGAACUCGCACCCGUUUCAGGAGCGUCAUGUCUACCUGGACGAGCCCAUCAAAAUCGGCCGCUCAGUGGCCCGCUGUCGACCAGCGCAGAAUAAUGCCACUUUUGAUUGCAAAGUGCUAUCAAGGAACCACGCUCUCGUCUGGUUUGAUCACAAGACGGGCAAGUUUUAUCUUCAAGACACUAAAAGUAGUAAUGGUACUUUUAUAAAUAGCCAGAGAUUGAGUCGAGGCUCUGAAGAAAGUCCACCAUGUGAAAUUCUUUCUGGUGACAUUAUCCAGUUUGGAGUAGACGUGACAGAGAAUACACGGAAAGUUACCCAUGGGUGUAUUGUUUCCACAAUAAAACUUUUUCUACCAGAUGGUAUGGAAGCCCGGCUCCGCUCAGAUGUCAUCCAUGCACCAUUACCAAGUCCUGUUGACAAAGUUGCUGCUAACACUCCAAGUAUGUACUCUCAGGAACUAUUCCAGCUUUCUCAGUAUCUACAGGAGGCCUUACAUCGGGAACAAAUGUUGGAACAGAAGUUAGCCACGCUUCAGCGGCUACUAGCCAUCACCCAAGAGGCUUCAGAUACCAGUUGGCAGGCUUUAAUAGAUGAAGAUAGACUCUUAUCACGGUUAGAAGUUAUGGGAAACCAAUUACAGGCGUGCUCCAAAAAUCAAACAGAAGAUAGUUUACGAAAGGAACUUAUAGCAUUACAAGAGGAUAAACAUAACUAUGAGACAACAGCCAAAGAGUCCCUGAGGCGGGUUCUUCAGGAGAAAAUUGAAGUGGUUAGAAAACUUUCAGAAGUUGAGCGAAGUCUGAGUAAUACUGAAGAUGAAUGUACCCAUCUGAAAGAAAUGAAUGAAAGGACUCAGGAAGAAUUAAGAGAAUUAGCCAAUAAAUAUAAUGGAGCAGUUAAUGAGAUUAAAGAUUUAUCUGAUAAAUUAAAGGUAGCAGAGGGAAAACAAGAGGAAAUCCAACAGAAAGGACAGGCUGAGAAAAAAGAAUUACAACAUAAAAUAGAUGAAAUGGAAGAAAAAGAACAGGAGCUCCAGGCAAAAAUAGAAGCUUUGCAAGCUGAUAAUGAUUUCACCAAUGAAAGGCUAACAGCUUUACAAGUACGGUUAGAACAUCUUCAGGAGAAAACUCUUAAAGAAUGCAGCAGCUUAGCUGAUCGUCGAAGGGCAUCUAACCAAAGCGGUAGAAGAAACAAAGCUUUCAAAAGGUUUGUUUUCUGUUUUUUCUAUGUUUUUUGACAGUUCUUUUCGAUAAUGAAGGUUAGUGUAUAUUUUCAAGGUUAUAGUAUUUUAACCAUCAGUUUACUUCUUAUAGUUCACAAAAUAGCAAGCCAGUAACAGUAUCAGAUAAUAUAUAAAAUAAUUAGACUUCUGUUUUAAGAAGGAUAUCGUAACUGGAAUGUGUCUUUUUAAGUGGAUGUAUAUUUGUGGUUUUUUGAAUGUUAGUACUUGAUAUAGGUUUCUUUAGGUAUUAAAGAUUUGUUGCAAUCUCUCUCACUCCUAGCAUUAAUUUCAGCUUUGAUCUCAAAUUUUAAUCAAACACAAUGUAAAUUGUUUGUGAUACAACUUAAGUGAAACAUGCUUGCAGUUCUAUUUUGGGGGUUACUGUACUUUUAAAAUCUCUUAUGAUGUUUAAUAUUUCCUUAAUUUUUGGCAUCUCAGUUUGAUUUAAACAAAAUUAAUGACUUUUGUGAAUGUAGAAUCUUCUUAUAUUUUAUGAGUAGUCCAGUAAGUGCCCAAAGUAGUUUAUUGUGUUAAAUCUGUUACAAUUGUCAGAGAAGAAAAGUGAGUUUUAAAGCACCAUAUUGUCAAGUCACUUUUAUACAUAGGGAAAUUAGGCAAAUAAAUUUGGUGGCAUGUGUUUAUCAGAGUAGAACUUUCAUUAGACUAUGCCAGUAUAAAAUUUAAAACUAGAUUCACAGUCCUUUUGGCCAAUUAAAACAUUGAGUUACAAAAGUUUGAGAUACUUAAUUUUAGUACAUUCUAUUUUAUUAAAGUAACUGGAUUCAUUUGGCUUUUUUAACCAUUUAAGAGGAUGAUGUUAUUUCAAGUAUCUCAUGGUUUCCAUUCUGAAUUUUGUGCAUGGCAGAUGCCAUAUUUGGGGAAAAAAUGCAUAGAAUAUGCAUCAUUAAUAUUGUUCUGGCAAACAGGCAUUGAGUUUCAGAACAGUGAACUAUUUUUAGUACAUAUGGCAAUUUUUUUUCACCUUAUUAAAGUGAGAUGAGAACAGACCUUAAAAUAGCUUUUACCUCACCAUCCAAAUACCUAUUCAGAUUAGUUGGUUGAAUAGCCAGCACUUUGAAGUAGAGCCUUAGG